CUUACCUGGCCUUGACAUGCCGAGAACUUUCCAGAGAUGGAUUGGUGCCUUUGGGAAAUUUGACACAGGUGCUGCAUGGGGGUUGUCAGCUCGUGUCUUGAGAUGUUGGGUUAAGUCCCGUAACGAGCGCAACCCUUGUCCUUAGUUACCAGCACGUUAUGGUGGGCACUUUAAGGAGACUGCCGGUGACAAACCGGAGGAAGGUGGGGAUGACGUCAAGUCAUCAUGGCCCUUACGGCCAGGGCUACACACGUGCUACAAUGGUCGGUACAGAGGGUUGCCAAGCCGCGAGGUGGAGCUAAUCCCACAAAACCGAUCGUAGUCCGGAUUGCAGUCUGCAACUCGACUUGCAUGAAGUCGGAAUCGCUAGUAAUCGCGAUCAGCAGACGCUGAUCGCUAC
rnacentral:rRNA from 1 species